rnacentral:rRNA from 1 species
GAUGAACGCUGGCGGCAUGCCUUACACAUGCAAGUCGAACGGCAGCAUGGAGAGCUUGCUCUCUGAUGGCGAGUGGCGAACGGGUGAGUAAAGCAUCGGAACGUACCGUGUAAUGGGGGAUAACGUAGCGAAAGUUACGCUAAUACCGCAUACGACCUGAGGGUGAAAGCAGGGGAUCGCAAGACCUUGCGUUAUACGAGCGGCCGGUGGCAGAUUAGCUAGUUGGGGAGGUAAAGGCUCACCAAGGCGACGAUCUGUAGCGGGUCUGAGAGGAUGAUCCGCCACACUGGGACUGAGACACGGCCCAGACUCCUACGGGAGGCAGCAGUGGGGAAUAUUGGACAAUGGGGGCAACCCUGAUCCAGCAAUGCCGCGUGUGUGAAGAAGGCCUUCGGGUUGUAAAGCACUUUCAGUGGGGAAGAAAGAACCAAAAUUAAUACUUUUGGGUGUUGACGUUACCCACAGAAGAAGCACUGGCUAACUCUGUGCCAGCAGCCGCCGUAA